ACCCCCGCCUGCCCGCACGCGUAGUCCAGAUUCGCCUGCAGCUCCUCAUCCGUCGCCCCCUCCUUCGGCACGCACCACCCAGUCGCCGCCGCCGCCGGCGACCUCUUCGCCGGCGCCGCAGCCGAUGACGAGUUCCCCUGAUGGAUACCCGCCUGAUCAAGAUCAAAACGGUCACGAUGAUUCGGAAAAUUCAUGGUCUACUACGAACCUGAGCGGUGGAGCUGGACUUGGAGAGGCCGGCGUCGUAGGUCAUGGAGAGAUCCGGCCGGAAGAGGCCGAAGGAUCGCUCGGACGUUGGCCCGGGCUUGAGAUCCUCGUCGUAGAGGGCGAAGAUAUACGUGUCCACGGAUUUCCCGGGCAUCAGCGGCGUCCCCACCAUGGAUUUCAGGCGGGCCACCAGGUUCCCGACGUAGGCCUUCGCGUUCUCCACCGUCGCGCCGACUUCAUCGGCGUCGCCGCGGUACGGCCACC
rnacentral:lncRNA from 1 species